CCCUAGAAAAUCUCAAAAAGAGUUCAACCAAGACAACGAGAUGUAGAGAAACAUAAUCAGAUCGUCGUCUAGGCUCUGAUACCAGUAAACAUUGAUAUUAGACCGAGAAAUCAUAGAAAACAUAGAGAAAGAAAGUAGAGAGAAGUCAGAGCAUUUCGAAACUCUCUAGAAGAUGAGAGAUGUUAUUACAGAGAAAAGAAAGAAA
rnacentral:lncRNA from 1 species